rnacentral:lncRNA from 1 species
CAAAAAUGAGUCAAAGCAUCUGCUCCUCAGAACCAGGAAGUCAAAGUUGACCCAGACUCCGGUUUAUUCCUUUCUCAUCAGGUUUGGGAAUGGGGUGAAGCAUCCCCGGGGUGAUCUUUGGGAAAAAUGCAUCUCCGUUCCCACUUCUGCCUCGGUGGCCACCACCUGGACGCCUAGGUUUGCUUUGUUGAUUUUUAGACGAUAUUUUCUUUGAACAUCUUGUAGAGAUAUGGGUAGCCUUCAAUCGCUGCCUAAAGCAUCUCUGUUUCGUUGUUAAGCCAAGCCUGGCUUAUUACAUAAAUGGACACAAUUGCUCUCUGUGAAAAGCCGGACACUAUUCAGAAGGAAGAGAGGGACAUGCCCCGCGGUCAGGAGUGGAGUGGCUUUAGCAUCUUUGCCCUUAGUAAUAGAACGUAGUCUCGGAAGUCCAGAAGCUUGGUCAUAAUGCAAGCGAAACAAACCUUCCAGGCUGGUUUUGGUUUUGUCAUUCGUAUGGGUCUACACCCAGGCUCUCUCAGUACCGUCUCUCCAAGCGCGAGCAACAGCAGCUGGAAGGUGGGACAGAUGCAGAUUCUAGGUUUCUACCUAAAAUCUCCUGAGCCAGAACUGUGGAGGAGGGGAAGUGAUCAGAAGUCAAAGUGAUGAAGGAAGGCAGCUAGCCAUGCUUCAGAUUCUUCUGAUGGCCCUCAAGUCUGAGAAAGAGCCUCAAGCCCAAGAGAAACUCUGUCGAUGCAGUAAUACUGAAAAGGACUCUCAGUGAACAAGCCCUAGGUGUCUUGUUAGAGCUGGUUCUGGAAACAGAAAGAUGAACCCAGACUCCGGUGCCAUCUAGUGGUCAUGUUAGUUCCUCUAGAAAUAAACUCCAGUGCAAUCCAGUGCUGGGUUUGAUACCUAGAGGCAAAGAGAACUUCUGAAUCCUGGCCAGCUAUGUCACCAUUUGAAUAUGGAACAUUUGAAUAUGCUCCCUAAGGGAGGGAUAUGCUUGUUGUGUUGAAUGCUUCCUCCUUAAUGCUGGCUUUGGGAGAUUCUGGGAAGAUGAGUCCUGGUUGAAUGAA